rnacentral:rRNA from 1 species
AAGAAAGUAAGAAAGGGCGUAUGGCGGAUGCCUAGGCUCACGGAGGCGAUGAAGGACGUGAUAAGCUGCGAUAAGCUUCGGGUAGGUGCAAAUAACCCUUGAUCCGAAGAUUUCCGAAUGGGACAACCUAGCCGUCUGAAGGACGGUUACUCUUACCAAGUAAGAGAGCUAACGCAGGGAACUGAAACAUCUUAGUACCUGCAGGAAGAGAAAAUAAAUGAAUGAUUCCCCCAGUAGUGGCGAGCGAACGGGGAACAGCCCAAACCGUUGACGUCGCAAGGCGCCAGCGGGGUUGUAGGACCGCGACAUUGUACUGAAAUGGUGAGUGGAAGUAUCUGGAAAGUUACAUCACAGAAGGUGAUAAUCCUGUACACGAAGCCAGAUCAGGCAUAGCGGUAUCCUGAGUAACGCGGGACACGAGGAAUCCUGCGCGAAUCUGCCGGGACCAUCCGGUAAGGCUAAAUACUCCCGUGAGACCGAUAGCGAACGAGUACUGUGAAGGAAAG